UACGUAGGUGGCAAGCGUUGUCCGGGAUUAUUGGGCGUAAAGCGCGCGCAGGCGGUCCUUUAAGUCUGAUGUGAAAGCCCACGGCUCAACCGUGGAGGGUCAUUGGAAACUGGGGGACUUGAGUGCAGAAGAGGAAAGCGGAAUUCCACGUGUAGCGGUGAAAUGCGUAGAGAUGUGGAGGAACACCAGUGGCGAAGGCGGCUUUCUGGUCUGUAACUGACGCUGAGGCGCGAAAGCGUGGGGAGCAAACAGG
rnacentral:rRNA from 1 species